UAGACGAAUGCCCGCUGGUUUAGGCGUUCAGCUGUUAACUGAAAGUAUGUAGGAUCGAGGCCUGCUCGUCUAG
rnacentral:tRNA from 1 species